GUUCACAUAUGAUAUUUAGAAGGUGUAUGUGCUGUCAAAACAGGUGGCACUAGCUGUCAUGGUGAAAUUCCAAUUUUACCCUUCAUUUGGAAAAUGACAUUUUCACUUACAAUGCUAAUUUGGUUGAUUACACACUUAAGCAUGAUUAAGGCUACCAUAUAUAUUCAUAAUCUCUUGCUAAUCACAACAGAAUUCACACACUCCAAGAUUGGAUCUCAAAACCAUUCCAAUUCUCUCAACUUUUAUCAAGAACACAAAUCUUCAAAUUCAUCAAACUUCUUCAUUCUUCAACCAAUUUUCGAAAUUCUUUUUGCAUCGAACUCCAUUAAUCAUCUUCUCAAACUGUUUUUGGAGAUUGGAGCCUAAGGAGCUGGAAAACGCAGCUGUCCAAAAUUCAUCCGUUAAUGGCAAAUCGCGAUUGUGGACAAUAGGAGUGGAAGUAAUUGAAACGGAGCAUAGCAUUCACCUUCUAUAUACUUCUUGUGCAUCUGUUUUGAAGAGUUGGAGCUUAAAGCCGCGAUUUACACACUGCCAUUGCCGGUACUUUAGUUGCUCAGUUCCUUGUGAACUAUUGCUUUGCUUUGCUUAAGCAACUUGCAUUUGAGGUAUAACCUUCUUACUUCAUGUAGUCUGGAGACCCGGCUGUUACCGGGCCGGGCAAAUUGUCUGAAGUCCUCCUUAAGAGGCAAUGCUUGUGUAUGUUUAUUUUUAAGCCAAGCAGGAAAAGCCCUUCAAGUAAGGCAAUUGGUGGAAGGUAGGGACAAGCAACCUGUCCCCCACUAUUCAGUGAGUCUUCUCCUUGCUCCCAUUACAUGGUUGUAGCAUUGAGAUCAAAAGCCCAAGAUCUUGUGCAGUGCACAUUGAGUCAGAGUCAUCGAGUAUAGAAGGGUUCCCCUAUUCUGGACCCAUGCUCAUUUGUCAGCUCUCCCUGGUUAGGGAUAUGAGCUGUGAGGUCUGAUCCUCACUUCAUCCUUUCAUCUGCUUCACCUUAGCCUCGUAAUGGCAAGGUUAAGAGCAAACACAGCCCGUACAGACGACUUGCUUAGGCAGUCAAACCUGAUUGAUUGAGCCCCUUGUUUGGCUAUAGUGCGUGUUAUGUGGAUAUCUAAUUGACAUGCUUGUUUGAGAUACCUGUUCUCAUUUGAUGAUGUAUGAUUGUAUGCUUGUGUGCUAGCUUCUUUCCUGGUUAGGAUAGGCUUGUUUAUGCAAGUAGGAUAGAAAACCGAACUUAGGGUUAACGAUGCAUGACAACAUUAGGCUCGAGUCUCAGCUCCCUAGUUGUGUAUCUUUCCCCGGUUUCUGGUUAGCAAUUUAGUCCCUUUCAGGGGAACUACAUCGCCCUGAUCCUCGUUCCAGACGAGGUAUGUAGGCAGGUGGUCGUGCGAGACCACUCCGGGCAACCUUUUUCUUUUUUGUGUGCGUUAACUUGUUAUCUGAUUGUGUGUUUUGGCUCGGAUGCCGACGUAAGCCCAGUGAUUGGCAGUCGGGCUCCACGUUUGCCGUUUUGUACAUAUUUUGGUUCGGAUGCCGACGUAAUUCCAUCCAGUGGUUGUCGGGCUCCAUGUUUGCCACCCUUGCU